rnacentral:rRNA from 1 species
UACGUAGGGGGCAAGCGUUGUCCGGAAUCAUUGGGCGUAAAGCGCGUGUAGGCGGCCCGGUAAGUCCGCUGUGAAAGUCCAGGGCUCAACCCUGGGAUGCCGGUGGAUACUGUCGGGCUCGAGUCCGGAAGAGGCGAGUGGAAUCCCUGGUGUAGCGGUGAAAUGCGCAGAUAUCAGGAGGAACACCAAUGGCGAAGGCAGCUCGCUGGGACGUGACUGACGCUGAGACGCGAAAGCGUGGGGAGCAAACAGG